GAUGUUGAUCUAAUUUGUGAUGUAGGUUCUCGGCUUUACACAGCCUAGAGGGAACUGGUUCCGCAAUCACUCCACAUACCAGGCUCUGCAUCCUGAUUAUAGAGCGAUUGUGCAUGGCUGGGGCUUCAGAGCAUUCUUUUCCAUCCUUCCCCGUCGUUGUCCCUGGGCCUACCUAAGGACAUUGUCUGAGCGCUUGUUUCACC
rnacentral:lncRNA from 1 species